GAUGAAGAACGUAGCGAAAUGCGAUAAGUAGUGUGAAUUGCAGAUUUCAGUGAAUCAUCGAAUCUUUGAACGCACAUUGCGCCCGCCAGUAUUCUGGCGGGCAUGCCUGUUCGAGCGUCAUUUCAACCAUCAAGCCCCCGGCUUGUGUUGGGGACCUGCGGCUGCCGCAGGCCCUGAAAACCAGUGGCGGGCUCGCUAGUCACUCCGAGCGUAGUAAUACAUCUCGCUCAGGGCGUGCUGCGGGUUCCGGCCGUUAAAAAGCCUUAUUUACCCAAGGUUGACCUCGGAUCAGGUAGGAAGACCCGCUGAACUUAAGCAUAUCAAUAAGCGGAGGA
rnacentral:misc_RNA from 1 species